rnacentral:misc_RNA from 1 species
AGCAGCCGCGGUAAUUCCAGCUCCAAUAGCGUAUAUUAAAGUUGCUGCAGUUAAAAAGCUCGUAGUUGAAUUUCGGGACCAUCAUGUCGGUCGUGCCUCGGUACGUACUGGCAUUGUUGGUUUCUCCCUUCUGACGAACCAUGAUGUCAUUUAUUUGGUGUCGUGGGAAAUCAGGACUGUUACUUUGAAAAAAUUAGAGUGUUUAAAGCAGGCUCACGCUUGAAUACAUUAGCAUGGAAUAAUGAAAUAGGACGUUUGAUUCUAUUUUGUUGGUUUCUAGGAUCGACGUAAUGAUUAAUAGGGAUAGUUGGGGGCAUUAGUAUUCAAUUGUCAGAGGUGAAAUUCUUGGAUUUAUUGAAGACUAACUACUGCGAAAGCAUUUGCCUAGGAUGUUUUCAUUAAUCAAGAACGAAAGUUAGGGGAUCGAAGACGAUCAGAUACCGUCGUAGUCUUAACCAUAAACUAUGCCGACUAGGGAUCGGAUGAUGUUAAUUUUUUAAUGACUCAUUCGGCGCCUUAC